rnacentral:rRNA from 1 species
GAUGAACGCUGGCGGCGUGCCUAAUACAUGCAAGUCGAGCGAACAGAUGAGGAGCUUGCUCCUCUGACGUUAGCGGCGGACGGGUGAGUAACACGUGGAUAACCUACCUAUAAGACUGGGAUAACUUCGGGAAACCGGAGCUAAUACCGGAUAAUAUAUUGAACCGCAUGGUUCAAUAGUGAAAGACGGUUUUGCUGUCACUUAUAGAUGGAUCCGCGCCGCAUUAGCUAGUUGGUAAGGUAACGGCUUACCAAGGCAACGAUGCGUAGCCGACCUGAGCGGGUGGUCGGCCACACUGGAACUGAGACACGGUCCAGACUCCUACGGGAGGCAGCAGUAGGGAAUCUUCCGCAAUGGGGGAAAGCUUGACGGAGCAAAGCCGCGUGAGUGAUGAAGGUCUUCGGAUCGUAAAACUCUGUUAUUAGGGAAGAACAAAUGUGUAAGUAACUAUGCACGUCUUGACGGUACCUAAUCAGAAAGCCACGGCUAACUACGUG